AAUUAUGAUGCUUGCACUUGGCUCUGAGCAGUUUUAACUUUUAACUACACUUUUGAUGGAAAUGCACAGCCUAUAAAGCUAUGUCUGACUA
rfam:Glycine max cultivar Williams 82 chromosome 2, whole genome shotgun sequence.